rnacentral:rRNA from 1 species
UACGGGAGGCAGCAGGGGGGAAUAUUGCACAAUGAGCGAAAGCUUGAUGCAGCGACGCCGCGUGAGGGAUGACGGCUUUCGGGUUGUAAACCUCUUUCGGCAGGGAACAAGGCCGCAUGUUUGUGUGGUUGAGGGUACCUGCAUAAGAAGCGCCGGCUAACUACGUGCCAGCAGCCGCGGUAAUACGUAGGGCGCGAGCGUUGUCCGGAAUUAUUGGGCGUAAAGAGCUCGUAGGCGGCUUGUCGCGUCUGCUGUGAAAACGCGGGGCUUAACUCCGCGCUUGCAGUGGUACGGGCAGGCUUGAGUGUAGUAGGGGAGACUGGAAUUCCUGGUGUAGCGGUGGAAUGCGCAGAUAUCAGGAGGAACACCGGAUGGGCGAAGGCAGGUCUCUGGGGCUAUAACUGACGCUGAGGAGCGAAAGCAUGGGGAGCGAACAGGGAUUAGAAUAACC